CAUAGGUUAAUGAGGCGAACCGGGGGAACUGAAACAUCUAAGUACCCCGAGGAAAAGAAAUCAACCGAGAUUCCCCCAGUAGCGGCGAGCGAACGGGGAGGAGCCCAGAGCCUGAAUCAGUGUGUGUGUUAGUGGAAGCGUCUGGAAAGGCGCGCGAUACAGGGUGACAGCCCCGUACACAAAAAUGCACAUAUUGUGAGCUCGAUGAGUAGGGCGGGACACGUGGUAUCCUGUCUGAAUAUGGGGGGACCAUCCUCCAAGGCUAAAUACUCCUGACUGACCGAUAGUGAACCAGUACCGUGAGGGAAAGGCGAAAAGAACCCCGGCGAGGGGAGUGAAAAAGAACCUGAAACCGUGUACGUACAAGCAGUGGGAGCCUCUUUAUGGGGUGACUGCGUACCUUUUGUAUAAUGGGUCAGCGACUUAUAUUCUGUAGCAAGGUUAACCGAAUAGGGGAGCCGAAGGGAAACCGAGUCUUAACUGGGCGUUAAGUUGCAGGGUAUAGACCCGAAACCCGGUGAUCUAGCCAUGGGCAGGUUGAAGGUUGGGUAACACUAACUGGAGGACCGAACCGACUAAUGUUGAAAAAUUAGCGGAUGACUUGUGGCUGGGGGUGAAAGGCCAAUCAAACCGGGAGAUAGCUGGUUCUCCCCGAAAGCUAUUUAGGUAGCGCCUCGUGAAUUCAUCUCCGGGGGUAGAGCACUGUUUCGGCAAGGGGGUCAUCCCGACUUACCAACCCGAUGCAAACUGCGAAUACCGGAGAAUGUUAUCACGGGAGACACACGGCGGGUGCUAACGUCCGUCGUGAAGAGGGAAACAACCCAGACCGCCAGCUAAGGUCCCAAAGUCAUGGUUAAGUGGGAAACGAUGUGGGAAGGCCCAGACAGCCAGGAUGUUGGCUUAGAAGCAGCCAUCAUUUAAAGAAAGCGUAAUAGCUCACUGGUCGAGUCGGCCUGCGCGGAAGAUGUAACGGGGCUAAACCAUGCACCGAAGCUGCGGCAGCGACACUAUGUGUUGUUGGGUAGGGGAGCGUUCUGUAAGCCUGUGAAGGUGGCCUGUGAGGGUUGCUGGAGGUAUCAGAAGUGCGAAUGCUGACAUAAGUAACGAUAAAGCGGGUGAAAAGCCCGCUCGCCGGAAGACCAAGGGUUCCUGUCCAACGUUAAUCGGGGCAGGGUGAGUCGACCCCUAAGGCGAGGCCGAAAGGCGUAGUCGAUGGGAAACAGGUUAAUAUUCCUGUACUUGGUGUUACUGCGAAGGGGGGACGGAGAAGGCUAUGUUGGCCGGGCGACGGUUGUCCCGGUUUAAGCGUGUAGGCUGGUUUUCCAGGCAAAUCCGGAAAACCAAGGCUGAGGCGUGAUGACGAGGCACUACGGUGCUGAAGCGACAAA
rnacentral:rRNA from 1 species